rnacentral:rRNA from 1 species
GCCUGGCCCUAAAUCUUGAUGCCACAUACAACCAAAGCAUCCGCCCGAGAACUACGAGCACAAACGCUUAAAACUCUAAGGACUUGGCGGUGCCCCAAACCCACCUAGAGGAGCCUGUUCUAUAAUCGAUAACCCACGAUACACCCGACCACUUCUAGCCAAAACAGCCUACAUACCGCCGUCGCCAGCUCACCUCCUCUGAGAGUGCCACAGUGAGCACAAUCGCCCUAACCUCGCUAACAAGACAGGUCAAGGUAUAGCCUAUGAAGUGGUAGAAAUGGGCUACAUUUUCUAGCUUAGAAAACCCACGAAAAGGGGCAUGAAAGAGCCCCUAGAAGGCGGAUUUAGCAGUAAAGCGGGAUAAUAUAAGCCCCCUUUAAGCUGGCUCUGAGGCAC